AGCAGCCGCGGUAAUUCCAGCUCCAAUAGCGUAUAUUAAAGUUGUUGCAGUUAAAAAGCUCGUAGUUGAAUUUCGGGGUCAGCAGGUUGGUCGUGCCGAUGGUAUGUACUGGUCUUGCUGAUUCCUCCCUCUUGCAGAACCGUAAUGCCAUUAAGUUGGUGUUGCGGGGAAACAGGACUGUUACUUUGAAAAAAUUAGACUGUUUAAAGCAGGCUA
rnacentral:rRNA from 1 species